GACGAACGCUGGCGGCGUGCUUAACACAUGCAAGUCGAACGGAAAGGCCCUGCUUUUGUGGGGUGCUCGAGUGGCGAACGGGUGAGUAACACGUGAGUAACCUGCCCUUGACUUUGGGAUAACUUCAGGAAACUGGGGCUAAUACCGGAUAGGAGCUCCUGCUGCAUGGUGGGGGUUGGAAAGUUUCGGCGGUUGGGGAUGGACUCGCGGCUUAUCAGCUUGUUGGUGGGGUAGUGGCUUACCAAGGCUUUGACGGGUAGCCGGCCUGAGAGGGUGACCGGCGACAUUGGGAAUGAGAGACGGACCAGAAUCCUACGGGAGGCAGCAGUGGGGAAUAUUGCAAAAUGGGAGGAAGCCGGAUGCAGCAACGCCGCGUGCGGGAUGACGGCCUUCGGGUUGUAAACCGCUUUCGACUGUGACGAAGAGUGAGUGACGGUAAUGGGUAAAGAAGCACCGGCUAACUACGUG
rnacentral:rRNA from 1 species